rnacentral:rRNA from 1 species
GACGAACGUCUGGCGGCGUGCCUAAUACAUGCAAGUCGAACGCACUCUCGUUUAGAUUGAAGGAGCUUGCUCCUGAUUGAUAAACAUUUGAGGUGAGUGGCGGACGGGUGAGUAACACGUGGGUAACCUGCCCUAAAGUGGGGGAUAACAUUUGGAAACAGAUGCUAAUACCGCAUAAAACCUAACAACCGCAUGGUGUAGGGUUGAAAGAUGGUUUCGGCUAUCACUUUAGGAUGGACCCGCGGUGCAUUAGUUAGUUGGUGAGGUAAAGGCUCACCAAGACCGUGAUGCAUAGCCGACCUGAGAGGGUAAAUCGGCCACACUGGGACUGAGACACGGCCCAGACUCCUACGGAGCAAGGCAGUAGGGAAUCUUCCACGAAUGGACGAAAGUCUGAU